rnacentral:rRNA from 1 species
UACGAGGGGGGCUAGCGUUGUCCGGAAUCAUUGGGCGUAAAGAGCGUGUAGGCGGCUCGGUAAGUCCGCUGUGAAAGUCCAGGGCUCAACCCUGGAAUGCCAGUGGAAACUGUCGAGCUAGAGUCCGGAAGAGGCGAGUGGAAUUCCUGGUGUAGCGGUGAAAUGCGCAGAUAUCAGGAGGAACACCAAUGGCGAAGGCAGCUCGCUGGGACGGUACUGACGCUGAGACGCGAAAGCGUGGGGAGCAAACAGG